rnacentral:rRNA from 1 species
UGGGAUGCCUUAGUAACGGCGAGUGAAGCGGCAAAAGCUCAAAUUUGAAAUCUAGUACCUUUGGUGCUCGAGUUGUAAUUUGAAGAAAUUUCUUUUGUGUAGUCCUUUAUCUAUGUUCCUUGGAACAGGACGUCAUAGAGGGUGAUAAUCCCGUAUGAUUUUGGAUACUAUACUUUGUAAAGAUUUUUCGAAGAGUCGAGUUGUUUGGGAAUGCAGCUCUAAGUGGGUGGUAAAUUCCAUCUAAAGCUAAAUAUUGGCGAGAGACCGAUAGCGAACAAGUACAGUGAUGGAAAGAUGAAAAGAACUCUGAAGAGAGAGUGAAAAAGUACGUGAAAUUGCUGAAAGGGAAGGGCUUUAGGUCAGACUUGGUGUUUAAUGCUUAUCUUCCCUUCUUGGGUUGACUACUCGUUUUUCACCGGGCCAAUAUCAGUUUUGUUGGUAGAGUACCUCUUGAAAUGUGGCUCUCUUCGGAGGGUGUUAUAGUCUUGAGGAGAUCUAUUAAUGGGACUGAGGACCGCG